AUCAUGGCUCAGGACGAACGCUGGCGGCGUGCUUAACACAUGCAAGUCGAACGGGGUCCAUCCAGUGGCAACACUGGUGAAGACCUAGUGGCGAACGGGUGAGUAACACGUGAGGAACCUGCCCCGGUCUCUGGAAUAACAGGUGGAAACACCUGCUAAUACCGGAUGCCGUCGGACCAUCGCAUGGUGGACCGACGAAAGAUUUAUCGGAUCGGGAGGGUCUCGCGGCCUAUCAGCUUGUUGGUGGGGUAACGGCCUACCAAGGCGUCGACGGGUAGCUGGUCUGAGAGGAUGAUCAGCCACACUGGGACUGAGACACGGCCCAGACUCCUACGGGAGGCAGCAGUGGGGAAUCUUGCGCAAUGGGCGAAAGCCUGACGCAGCAACGCCGCGUGCGGGAAGAAGGCUCUCGGGUUGUAAACCGCUUUCAGAAGGAACGAAACUGACGGUACUUUCAGAAGAAGGUGCGGCCAACUACGUGCCAGCAGCCGCGGUGACACGUAGGCACCAAGCGUUGUCCGGAUUUAUUGGGCGUAAAGAGCUCGUAGGCGGUUCAGUAAGUCGGGUGUGAAAACUCUGGGCUCAACCCAGAGACGCCACCCGAUACUGCUGUGACUUGAGUACGGUAGGGGAGCAGGGAAUUCCUGGUGUAGCGGUGAAAUGCGCAGAUAUCAGGAGGAACACCGGUGGCGAAGGCGCUGCUCUGGGCCGAAACUGACGCUGAGGAGCGAAAGCGUGGGUAGCAAACAGGAUUAGAUACCCUGGUAGUCCACGCCGUAAACGUUGGGCACUAGGUGUGGGCUCUAACCAACGGAGUCCGCGCCGUCGCUAACGCAUUAAGUGCCUCGCCUGGGG
rnacentral:rRNA from 1 species